rnacentral:rRNA from 1 species
CAGUCGCCGCGGGAAUACGAAGGGGGCUAGCGUUGUUCGGAAUUACUGGGCGUAAAGCGCACGUAGGCGGAUAUUUAAGUCAGGGGUGAAAUCCCAGAGCUCAACUCUGGAACUGCCUUUGAUACUGGGUAUCUUGAGUAUGGAAGAGGUGAGUGGAAUUCCGAGUGUAGAGGUGAAAUUCGUAGAUAUUCGGAGGAACACCAGUGGCGAAGGCGGCUCACUGGUCCAUUACUGACGCUGAGGUGCGAAAGCGUGGGGAGCAAACAGGAUUAGAUACCCCGGUAGUCCCUGUCUCUUAUAA